UACGGGAGGUGCAAGCGUUGUUCGGAGUAACUGGGCGUAAAGCGCACGUAGGUGGGCUUGUAAGUCGGAUGUGAAAUCCCCGGGCUUAACCUGGGAACUGCAUCCGAAACUACAAGUCUUGAAUGCUUCAGAGGUUGGUAGAAUUCCUGGUGUAGGAGUGAAAUCCGUAGAUAUCAGGAGGAAUACCGGAGGCGAAGGCGGCCAACUGGGAGUGCAUUGACACUGAGGUGCGAAAGCGUGGGGAGCAAACAGG
rnacentral:rRNA from 1 species